GUGCUCGCUUUGGCAGCACAUAUAUUAAAAUUGGAACGAUACAGAGAAGUUUAGCAUGGCCCCUGUGCAAGGAUGACAUGCAAAUUUGUGAAGCGUUCCAUAUUUUU
rnacentral:snRNA from 1 species